rnacentral:lncRNA from 1 species
AGGCUCUGAAAGAGUUAACCGAAUCACCGAGCACAAAAGAACUAAGUGCUAUAUGGAGUUGUUUUCUUAGCAGGACACAAAUCUAAGAGCCAUUCCUCUGACUGGGAGGAGGGGGGUGUCGGAGAGAGGAUUCCCAGAAGAGAAGACAUCUGAGCUCCGGAGGAGGAGAAAUGGAGCACCACGCAGAGAAAACGGAAUAGACAAAUGUACUAGGGCGGGAAAGCCCACGGGCUGUAUUUGGGGAAAAACCGAAAUUAGCUAUAGUUAGGAGUUAGGCCUUUGGACAGAAAUGAAGGGAGAUGAGCCUCCAAAAUAAUAAUAAGGACCUCACUUACUGAGGACCUACUCUCUGUUCAAGUAAGAAGAAACAAAAAAAGUAACUAAACUGGAUACAGCCCUUACCAAGUGCCAGACACUGUCCUCACCACUUUACAUGCAUUAACUUAAUUAAUUAAUUAACUAAUCUAGGAAGAGAACUACUUGUAUUGUCCUUUAAAAUGUGCCAGGGACUCUGCACAUCAUCUUUCAGUUAGCCCAGCAAUACCCUGGGCUAACGCUUAUCCUGUUUUAGAGAUGGGAAAACUAAAUCUGAGGGGCCAAGUAAUAUGUGCAAGGUCACACAGCUAAUGUCAGAGUCUGGAUUCAAGCCCACAUGUGUAUAACUCCAGAGUCUGAUGCAUCAUACCUUAUUUUAUAGAUGGGUAACUGAUAACCAGAGGGAAGUGGCUUGCCCAAGAUCCCUUGGCAAGGUUUGGCAAAGCCUGGUUCUAGAAACCAAGCCUCAGACCUCUUGUCAUCUGUUCCUUGACAGCACCUCUUUCUUCAGACCCAGGAGCUAUGAGAACGCUUGACGAAAUGGUGGUGAAGGUGCUGCCCAGUGAAAAACACUGAGGUGCCAAGUCUCACUGAUUCUAUGGACAAUAUACUUGCAAAAGGUAUACAAACUCUGUACAUGAAAUUUGCUUCCAUUUGCUGGCACUCAGUGAUCAAUAUUUAACCAUCAUGGGCCCCUGACAAUUGGAAAGUAGCUCACAAAAGAAAAAGUCAAGUGGUUACUGCACUGACCAAGUACUGAGAAAGUUCCCAAUUCUGUCUCUCAUCACCCCCUCAACUCCAUACUUAUACACAGAAACAAACAUACAAAUGACUUUUGACCCCAUGGAAGCCUUUCCAUUUAUUUGUAAAGAAUGUAUUUGUAUUUGUAAAGAAUACUACAUCUCUAUGUAAUCUUUA